CAAUAGCGUAUAUUAAAGUUGUUGCAGUUAAAAAGCUCGUAGUUGGAUUUCUGGUCGGAAGCUCCUGUCUUCUGAUGAGCGUACAAGUGCGUCCUACCAUCCUUCUGUUAACCUUUAAGGCUUUCGCGGCUUUCUAGGGGCUCAGAUAUUUUACCUUGAGAAAAUUAGAGUGUUUCAGGCAGGCUAGCGCCGGAAUACAUUAGCAUGGAAUAAUGGAAUAGGACUUUUGCCUCUUCUGUUGGUCAUGAGGCUCGAGUAAUGAUUAAUAGGGAUAGUUGGGGGCAUUAGUACUUAACUGUCAGAGGUGAAAUUCUCGGAUUUGUUAAAGACUAACUUAUGCGAAAGCAUUUGCCAAGGAUGUUUUCAUUAA
rnacentral:rRNA from 1 species